GCUGGGCACGGUGGCGCGUGCCUGUAAUCCCAGCUACUCAGGAGGCUGAGGCCGGAGAAUUGCUUGAACCCAGGAGGCAGAGGUUGCGGUGAGCCGAGAUCACGCCAUCGCACUCCAGCCUGGGUAACAAGAGCAAAACCCUGUCUCAA
rnacentral:sRNA from 13 species